rnacentral:rRNA from 1 species
CAUGGCCUACGGGGGGCAGCAGUGGGGAAUAUUGCACAAUGGGGGAAACCCUGAUGCAGCGACGCCGCGUGAGUGAAGAAGUAUUUCGGUAUGUAAAGCUCUAUCAGCAGGGAAGAAAAAAGACGGUACCUGACUAAGAAGCCCCGGCUAACUACGUGCCAGCAGCCGCGGUAAUACGUAGGGGGCGAGCGUUAUCCGGAUUCAUUGGGCGUAAAGCGCGCGUAGGCGGUCAUGU